UGAAUACGAGAUGCUACGGCGUCGAAGCAGUCUAUGUCAUACUUCCAAGAAAAGCUUGCACUGUCAUAAACAAAUAAUGCCUGUACCAUAACCGACACAGGUGGGUAGGUAGAGUAUACUAAGGGGCGCGAGAUAACUCUCUCUAAGGAACUCGGCAAAAUGACUCCGUAACUUCGGGAGGAGGAGUGCCUUAUUUUAUAAGGUUGCAAUAACAAGAUCCAAGCAACUGUUUACCAAAAACACAGGUCUCCGCUAAGUCGUAAGACGAUGUAUGGGGGCUGACGCCUGCCCAGUGCCAGAAGGUUAAAGAAGUUGGUUAGCAUCCGCGAAGCUGAUAACUGAAGCCCUGGUGAACGGCGGCCGUAACUAUAACGGUCCUAAGGUAGCGAAAUUCCUUGUCGGGUAAGUUCCGACCCGCACGAAAGGCGUAAUGAUUUGGAUACUGUCUCAGAGAGGGGCUCGGUGAAAUAGACUUGUCUGUGAAGAUGCGGACUACCUGCACCAGGACAGAAAGACCCUAUGAAGCUUUACUGUAACUUGAAAUUGAAAUUGGACUUUACUUGCGCAGUAUAGGUGGGAGGCGUUGAGAACAUUCUUGCGGGAAUGUUGGAGCCAUCAGUGAGAUACCACUCUUGUAAUGUUAGAUUUCUAACUUUGUAUCAUUAUCUGGUCAAAGGACAGUUUCAGGCGGGCAGUUUGACUGGGGCGGUCGCCUCCCAAACGGUAACGGAGGCGCACAAAGGUUUCCUCUGAACGGGUAGAAAUCGUAUCUAGAGUGUAAAGGCAUAAGGAAGCUUGACUGUGAGACCUACAAGUCGAGCAGGGACGAAAGUCGGUCUUAGUGAUCUGACGGUGCUGAGUGGAAAGGCCGUCACUCAACGGAUAAAAGUUACUCUAAGGAUAACAGGCUGAUCUCCCCCAAGAGUUCACAUCGACGGGGAGGUUUGGCACCUUGAUGUCGGCUCAUCGCAUCCUGGGGCGGUAGUACGUCCCAAGGGUUGGGCUGUUCGCCCAUGAAAGCGGUACGCGAGCUGGGUUCAGAACGUCGUGAGACAGUUCGGUCCAUAUCCGGUGUAGGCGUUAGAAUAUUGAGAGGAGCCUUCUUUAGUACGAGAGGACCGAGAAGGACAUACCUCUGGUGUACCAGUUAUCGUGCCAACGGUAAACGCUGGGUAGCUAUGUAUGGAGUGGAUAACCGCUGAAAGCAUCUAAGUGGGAAGCCCACCUCAAGAUAAGUA
rnacentral:rRNA from 1 species